GCUGGCGGCGUGCUUAACACAUGCAAGUCGAACGCGAAAGCCCCUUCGGGGGUGAGUAGAGUGGCGCACGGGUGAGUAACGCGUAAAUAAUCUACCCUUGUGUCUGGGAUAACCAGCCGAUAGGCUGACUAAUACCGGAUAUAUGGCUACCUGUUGGGGUAUUCAUGAAAGGUGGGGCUUCUUCGGAACCUAUCGCACGGGGAUGAGUUUGCGUACCAUUAGCUAGUUGGUGGGGUAAAGGCUUACCAAGGCAACGAUGGUUAGCGGGUCUGAGAGGAUGAUCCGUCACACUGGCACUGGAACACGGGCCAGACUCCUACGGGAGGCAGCAGCGAGGAAUAUUGCGCAAUGGGGGAAACCCUGACGCAGCGACGCCGCGUGAGUGAGGAAGGCCUUCGGGUCGUAAAGCUCUGUCAGAUGGGAAGAAGUGCUACGUAGUUAAUAACUGCGUAGUUUGACGGUACCAUCAGAGGAAGCACCGGCUAACUCCGUGCCAGCAGCCGCGGUAAUUC
rnacentral:rRNA from 1 species